UAAGGGGACACUGAGUCCCGUGUUGUUUAACAGACGAGGAACUGAAAGCCAGAGAGACUAUUGCCCAGUGACACAGUAAGGGGUGAGAGGUGAACUGGAAUCCAAGUCUUCUGAUUCAAAGUUUAAUACUAUCUACUAUGCCACAAGGCAAUAAAACUUCGAACAGUUGAAGAAAACAUGGCUCAAGGUUUCCCUCACACACGAAGCUAACCAACCAUCCAAAGUUCCUUUAAAGGUACGACAUGGUUUCUAGAUCCAUCCUUGUCCAUCCUUUUAAGCAUGCUGACUGGUUUUCCUGUGUCUCUCUUGGAAUAAAAUCUGACUGAAAUUUCUAGA